rnacentral:lncRNA from 1 species
CCAAACAACUCUCCUCUCUCCCUCUAGAAAGCUCACGGCCAAACAUCCCUAAUCACCCAUCAAUUUUUCGAGCCUUGUUCAAGCCAUUCCAAGCAUACCCAAGCAUCAAGGAUCACGUAUUAGGAGGCUUGGUGCACUCGGAGCACGAAUGACCUUUUUCUCUAGCUUUUAUCCACCACAUUCGCGUUACGACGUUAAUUAAGCAAAUCCG